ensembl:lncRNA
AAUGGCCAAGGAAACCAUUUUCAGACCAGGAACCCGGUGAGCGGGGCUGUGCAGGGGAGGGCAGAGCAGAGAAGCAGGGCAGGAUGCUGCUCCUUUUGUCCUUCCCCUCUGCCUUGCAGAUGGGCGUCCACACCAAGAUGGAACCAGAGCUGGACACACGCCUGUCCUCAGCUCUCUAACCGGUCUUCUUGCCAUACAAGACAGAUAAGUCAGCCACAAACGGUAUUUUUCCUGUACCCAACGAACCCCUGGAUGCUCCCCAAGAAAUUCUGCCCUCAUCCCAACGAUUGAUACCCCUUAGCUGAGCACAGGUCCCUCUCUAGGUGCCAGCACCAGGCCUGCUGAUUGUCGUGCUGCUUUCUACCCAGGCUUGGGGAAAAAAGCAGCCACACACAGCCACGGGAAUGGCUGGCAGACCAGCAACCUGGUGAGCAAGGCUGUGCACGGGAGGGCAGCACGGGGAAGCAGAGCAGGAGGCUGCUCCUCUCGUGCCUCUCAUCUGCCUUGCAGAUGGACAGCCCAACACCAACGGAAACAGAUGACCACCAGGGCCUGAGCUCCAUUUGACAAACUGGUGUUCACGUCCUACGAAAAAGAUAAGUCACUCCCAAACUGUAGCCUGUCUUGCACCUCCAGGCCUAUGGAAGCUCCAUAGCAUCCUCCUGCAUUAACCCAAAACUUUAACUCUGCUUUGCUGAAUCUCGACCCCACUGCACGUGCCGGCACCACACCGCAUGACUGCAGUAGCUGUGACAACGCGGCGCUGCUGACACAGUGAGCCCAAAAUGGCCAAGGAAACCAUUUUCAGACCAGCAACCCGGUGAGCGGGGCUGUGCAGGGGAGGGCAGCACAAAGUAGCAGGGCAGGAGGCUGCUCCUUUCGUCCUUCCCCUCUGCCUUGCAGAUGGACGUCCACACCAAGAUGGAACCAGUGCUGGACACACGCCUGUCUUCAACUCUCUAACUGGUCUCCAUGCCAUACAAGACAGAUAAGUCAGCCACAAACGGUAUCCUCCCUUGGCCCGAAGGGCCCCUGGCUGCUCCCCAAGACACUCCUGCCCUCACCCCUAGAGUUGAUACCACUUAGCUGAGUACAGGCCCCAACCUAGGUGCC